rnacentral:rRNA from 1 species
ACCCUUUAAUGUUUGAUGUUCUAACGUGGACCCGUGAUCCGGGUUGCGGACAGUGUCUGGUGGGUAGUUUGACUGGGGCGGUCUCCUCCUAAAGAGUAACGGAGGAGCACGAAGGUUGGCUAAUCCUGGUCGGACAUCAGGAGGUUAGUGCAAUGGCAUAAGCCAGCUUGACUGCGAGCGUGACGGCGCGAGCAGGUGCGAAAGCAGGUCAUAGUGAUCCGGUGGUUCUGAAUGGAAGGGCCAUCGCUCAACGGAUAAAAGGUACUCCGGGGAUAACAGGCUGAUACCGCCCAAGAGUUCAUAUCGACGGCGGUGUUUGGCACCUCGAUGUCGGCUCAUCACAUCCUGGGGCUGAAGUAGGUCCCAAGGGUAUGGCUGUUCGCCAUUUAAAGUGGUACGCGAGCUGGGUUUAGAACGUCGUGAGACAGUUCGGUCCCUAUCUGCCGUGGGCGCUGGAGAACUGAGGGGGGCUGCUCCUAGUACGAGAGGACCGGAGUGGACGCAUCACUGGUGUUCGGGUUGUCAUGCCAAUGGCACUGCCCGGUAGCUAAAUGCGGAAGAGAUAAGUGCUGAAAGCAUCUAAGCACGAAACUUGCCCCGAGAUGAGUUCUCCCUGAGACUUAGAGUCUCCUGAAGGAACGUUGAAGACGACGACGUUGAUAGGCCGGGUGUGUAAGCGCAGCGAUGCGUUGAGCUAACCGGUACUAAUGAACCGUG